rnacentral:lncRNA from 1 species
CAAUCUUUAUUUCCAAAGCCAUGCAAAUCAGAAAAUAGACAUACUCCAGCCACAAGCAAGCAAAUAUAUUUUCUUUCAUUAUUAUUUAGCAGAAAAUUCUACGUAUAUCAAUCUUACGGAGGCUGUUUGCUGGCAAACUUUCUUACAUAUCUUCCAGAGUUAAGUUGGUUGGUAAUGGGCAGAUUCCAAAUACCUGAGACUUGGACUGCUCAGGGUCGCCUGCAGUAGAUAGACUUGGGGCAGAUUCCAAAUUCUGACCUGUCAAACUAAUAGGGAGGACCAACAUGUUAUUCACUUCGUCCUCAUAAACAACCGCCUUUAUCGCCUCAAUUUCCCCACCAGUCACGAUCACUGUCAAUUAAUUGAGUUACCAAAUUAAUGUUAAAGAUUAUUUUCUUUCAGCCUGGGAGCCUACCCAUUGGAAGCUUCACCACGUUGGAAGAGUUGGCAACCAAGUUCAAGUUCAAGUUCAUGAGCCAAUACUCCUAACUUACCAGUAAAACACCUACUAUAUCAGACCUCUAAGACACCACUCGGGGGAAACUUUGAAACCCAUUAAUCUUCUGAGCAAAAUGCGAACAAUCAUUUCGCUCUUGCCAUCUAAUUCCUGGCUUCAGAACUUCUUUGUCUCAAAGUAACUUUUGCCCACCCCAGGAAGCUCUACAUUCCGUCUAAACUUGUU